ACCAGGCUGUCAGAAGUCUGCCAAUUGGUCAUUUAUGCAGCACCCUCUGUGCCUAUGACUGUAUUUAGUCAACUGAGACCACAGUCCCCGCUCAACACUCUGGUGGUCGCAUGCGAAUUCUCUUCAAUAAGUAUAACAGGACAGAUUAAAAGAUGCUCUCUUUUCCGAGCAGAUUGCUGAGCUAGGGCGAAGGCAAGGAGGUGGUCGGAGGAGGGGAAAAACAUGUUGUCUACCUACUGCUGCUUCAAUUUUAAGUGAGGUUUAUUUAUCCAUUGACUCAUUCAGUAAGCUUUACCUAAAUACCCACUCUAUGCCACGUUCCAGGUUAGGAUCUGGGAUUUUGAAGGCCAGAAAGACACAGUUUCUGCUCUUGAAGAUCUUAAAGUUUACUAAGGAAAGACAAAAUUAUGAACAAAUAAUUAAGAUACUCUAUAAUAAGUGCUAUAUUAGAAAUACUAUCAAGGUGCUAGAAAUCAGAGAAGACAGGGCGAUCAAUUCUGCAAGAGGUGGUGUUAUCUGAGCAGGAUCUUAAUUAAGAAGUGAGAAUGAAGGGCAGUCCUAGCAGAAGGCACAGCAAACAGUUUGACACGGCAGCACAUACGAUCAUGACAGUUGAAGGAUGGAAGGUAUAUUGUGGCUAAUGCAGAGGGUAGAAUCAGCA